AUUGAACGCUGGCGGCAGGCCUAACACAUGCAAGUCGAGCGGAUGAAGGGAGCUUGCUCCUGGAUUCAGCGGCGGACGGGUGAGUAAUGCCUAGGAAUCUGCCUGGUAGUGGGGGAUAACGUCCGGAAACGGGCGCUAAUACCGCAUACGUCCUGAGGGAGAAAGUGGGGGAUCUUCGGACCUCACGCUAUCAGAUGAGCCUAGGUCGGAUUAGCUAGUUGGUGGGGUAAAGGCCUACCAAGGCGACGAUCCGUAACUGGUCUGAGAGGAUGAUCAGCCACACUGGAACUGAGACACGGUCCAGACUCCUACGGGAGGCAGCAGUGGGGAAUAUUGGGCAAUGGGCGAAAGCCUGAUCCAGCCAUGCCGCGUGUGUGAAGAAGGUCUUCGGAUUGUAAAGCACUGUAAGUUGGGAGGAAGGGCAGUAAGUUAAUACCUUGCUGUUUUGACGGUACCAACAGAAUAAGCACCGGCUAACUUCGUG
rnacentral:rRNA from 1 species